GUGUUGAUUAUUUGUGGUUAUUCUAGAAAAAAAAAAAAUCUGUUGAACUUUUGUGAAAUUUAUAUUUCCAAAUCCAGUGCUUGUGAAAUAGCAGGUUCCUGAUGUUAGUGACUCCUGGGCGGUUCUUUCGGUAAAACGGGUUCUUCUUUGGAGUGAAGUGUCUGCUGGUGGUCGUCUUCUGCGCUGGCCGCGGGGCCUCCCCCGGCCAGGUAAACUCCUCCCUGGCAGUGGGACUCCUGGAUUUCAGCCCUCGGAUGUGGAGAGGACGCCCUGUGAUUCCAGGCUCGGCCAGCUAUCGUCGCAGAGGACUAGUCCAAUCGAUUUGCUCCUUUCCAGGUUACCGUCAUCUGACCAGCCCUUCAAGAAACAGAGAAAGAAGUUAUUCUACAGGAAAACUCGAAACACAAAUUCCUGAGCAAAAUGACAACAGCAAUACACAACUGAAGCAUGAGCAAGAACAUUAUGAGUCAACAACAGAACACUAAAGGGGAGGAAGAAAUUAAUACAACGUAGAAAGUUAAAUAUCACCAGCUCAUAAAUAGACACCAGCUCAUAAAGGACACAAGAUACAGGCAUUUAAAUAAAACCCCCGUACUAAACACCAAAACCCAGGCUAGAGAUCCAUAGAUGUAGAAACAGACAAAUUGAUAAAAAUAUUAAAAGAAUGCCAGCCAGAAGAAUAGACAGAAAUAAAUGGGAAAAGCAACAACAGAAAACCAAAAUGAUA